UACGUAGGGGGCAAGCGUUGUCCGGAAUUAUUGGGCGUAAAGAGCUCGUAGGCGGUUUGUCGCGUCUGCCGUGAAAGUCCGGGGCUCAACUCCGGAUCUGCGGUGGGUACGGGCAGACUAGAGUGAUGUAGGGGGAGACUGGAAUUCCAGGUGUAGCGGUGAAAUGCGUAGAUAUCUGGAGGAACACCGGUGGCGAAGGCGGCAUCCUGGACCAACACUGACACUGAGGAGCGGAAAGCCAGGGGAGCAAACGGG
rnacentral:rRNA from 1 species